AUUAGUCUGCUAUAAAAUAAAUGAAAACCAAAUUUCAUAAUGGGAAAAUAGUGUAAAAUUGUAAAUACUGAAAUAUGCAAGGGCAAAAUCGUAACAUCAGCAUUCAACUCUUCAACAGCUUCGAAGGGUUAGGCCAGGGCUUUAUGCAUUUUGCAUUCUGAUAAACCCUAAAUUUUCGCAGAAUUAGGCCACAAGCUCUUGAAAUUUCGCGUGUUGAAGGUAAUAGAAUCUCCGUUGAAGGCUAGCAGAGAUUCUGCAGGAGGAGAGGGAAUCGCGCGAACGAUUCACCGGAGAGUGGAGGUGUUGAGGAGAAAUGACGGUCGCGAGCAAAAUCGGGGACUGGACUUUCAAAGCGUUCACGGCGGGGCUCGGCAUCGCCACCAUAUAUAUGACCGGUACUUUCUCCCUCAAUGUCUACCGUGGUCUCUCCUGGCACAAUGAACAAAAGAAAGCUGGGAAGGAGGGGAUUUUACAGAAGCCUGAGGAGGAGUCUACUGAUCAAAAUCCACAGUGAUCGUAGCCUCUGACGAAGUCCAUUGAAGACCGGAGUCUAGGCUCCAGCUGAAUUGAUUCAAGCAGCCAAAUUUCAUGUAAAAGUAUGCUAUAGCAAAAGUCAGAUUUUCAUACAUAUGUGCAACGGAACGGAUGGAUCUUGCUUUGAUCAUGAGUUUCUUAUCUUAGAAUAAAAUUCCAUCAAAGUAUCAAAAAGGUUUAUAGAACUUUUACUUUUCUGAAUUCUGAUUGAUGUUAUAGAAUUCGGAAUAAGAGGAGAUGUCUAGCUUGAUAAUGGGUAGCAUUAUUAAAUUGGAUAGUGUAUUGGGCACAUUAUUUGUUAUUUUAUUUUUAUGAGAAUUUAUAGGAUUUUUUUGUGACAUUUGCAA